CCUACGGGUGGCAGCAGUGGGGAAUAUUGGGCAAUGGGCGCAAGGCUGACCCAGCAAUGCCGCGUGAAGGAAGAAGGCCCUCGGGUUGUAAACUUCUUUUAUCAGGGACGAAGGAUGUGACGGUACCUGAUGAAUAAGCUCCGGCUAACUACGUGCCAGCAGCCGCGGUAAUACGUAGGGAGCAAGCGUUAUCCGGAUGGACUGGGUGUAAGGGGCGCGUAGGCGGGAUGGAAAGUCAGAUGGGAAAUCCAGGGGCUAAACCACGGAACUGCCGUGGAAACUGUAAUUCGUGAGUACGUGGGAGGUAGGCGGAAGGCGUGGGGUAGCGGGGAAAGGCAUAGAUAGCACGAAGAACGACGAUGGAGAAGGCAGCUUACUAAGACACAAUUGACGCUGAGGCACGAAAGCGUGGGGAGCAAACAGGAUGAGAGAACCUGGUAGUC
rnacentral:rRNA from 1 species